UGUCUCUCUGUCCUCGUCCUUUCAGGUUUAGGACCUGCUGGCAGGAUCCUGAUGUCGCGGCUCGCGACACAACAGGAAGGCCCGGGCAGUCAGGAAGGUCAGCCUCCAUGUCUCAUAGCAAGUUUGAGGAGGACUGAGAGGCCACCAAGAAUGCACAACACAUGCAAAAAGGAAAAUGGAAACCACUGCCCAACACCCAAUUUGUCCAUUGCCUUCCAUUUGAAGUGUAGUGUUCUUAGAGAAGCUUGAGCAAUUUCUAUGUCUGGGCUGUGCUUAUCAGAUGCUUUCAACAUGGCCGGCACCCACCGUCCACUGUGGGAAGCACCCACCUUCUGUGGAUAUUGCUGCAAAGCUCCAUGACCUCAACUUGGGAGGUUUAGGACCUGCUGGCAGGAUCCUGACGUCGCGGCUCGCGACACCCUCUUCUUUUGAAAUGGGAAAGAAAGGACUUGGAGCCCUGGAAGGUGAGGUUGGCGGCCUGGACAAUGACCUGGAAAAUAAAGACACUAGAACAGGGAAAGCAGUUGUGGACAAGUGAUACAGUUGUCCUGGUGGGACAUUCCCUCCUUUUCUGGCUUUGUUUCAGGAAAACCUGGUGACUGGAACCAGUUGCCAAAGGCAGAGACCAAAGAAAGAAGCAGACAAAGCCAUGGUUGCACAGGACACCACUUCUUAGUGACUUAGAGACAGUUGCGUCUUGGGCAGCAGCGAGACAGAAGGGGCCACUGCACCCCAAAGCAAGAAGAAGGGAUUUAUAUGAGUUCCUCUGUUGAACUAGACAAAGAUGGGCCAUGACCGGCUGUGCUGGGUUUUUUCAAAAACUAUAAACACAUCACGUGUCACUUAAGAGAGUCCGGGUCGGGCCCUGGCACAAUCUCUACGUUGUCUUGACAACUUUAUUCAUCUACAGGGCUUGAGAUAUGUGUUAGGGUCACUUGGGGGGCAGGGGGUGGUUACCACCGAAGGCUGUGGUCAUGACAAGCCAGAUCCCUAAAGGCCUCCCACUCAGCCUAAUCUCGGAGGAGGAAAACAGGAAAUCAAUAUGAGUUCAAAAAUUACUUUGUCGAGACUUCUCUUGGUCUCCACUCAGGCUUGAGUGUUCUUUCCUUUCUCAUCCUCACUCCCCAACUCAGGUAUGUUUGUGAUAUGACGGCUGGGCUGCCACAAGUGGCGCCUGAACAGGGACCUGAGUAUCGAGGGAGCCAGUGAAAGACACCGCAGAGAGGAGCCAGGCCUCAACGAAAAGCACACAGAUGUCAGCCUUUUCAGGCAAUGGAAAGAGUGAUGCUAAAUAUGUGAAACUAUGCAGGAAUUACAAAGAAACUCUGAUCACCUUUCAGGGGAUCCAAAUGGACAUUCCUCAGUUAUGACUUACUCCCAAAUAGAAGAUGAGCCACCAGAGGUUUUCCAGGCCUCAACUCAAACCCGUAGGGCUCCAGGAGGAAUAAAGGAAACCAGGAAAGCAGUGAGAGAUUCUGACAGUGGACUAGAAAAAAUGGCUGUCGCUCAUCAUAGCCACUACCCAGCUCAUGUUAUUAAAAAGUCAAAGAACAAGAAGACUCAUGAUGCGCCCCAAGUCAUUCCUCGGGGAUCAGCGGAGCCUCCCCGCCCCUGCAGCUUCCUGUGUGAUCUGUACGACUGUGGACGUGGACCACGGGCCUUAGGGCGCCGAGGUAACAGGAUCAUUCCCUGCCUUUGUGGGCAGAUGUGGGUGUCCAUGGAGACUCGCCAAGGAGUACACAACCUGGAGCUGCGCCGGCCAAAACCGCCAGGCCCUGACGGCCACAGUGCCGCGGGGCCUUUGUAGUGCGGGCCUGUGCGUCCACGUGGUGAGAAAAUAACCACACGGGGUCCGCACAGGUCGGCAGGGCUGGCGCAGGUCAGCGAUGCCCCUCCUGACCGGGAGCGACAGGAAAGCAAGACCCUCCCGCGCCUGCCGGGUCUGACUGGGCGAGGGAGUCGCCCGGCAGUUGUCCUAGUGAUGCGUGAGCGAGGCCAGGACCCGGUGAGCCAGCCGGGCCACGGCCACAGUGUGGGUGAACGAAACGGCGAUCUGGACACCCAGUCCCGCGAAUGAACGACGUCGCGCGGAUGCCUCCUGCAGUGACAGCCGUUACAGCCCUUAGCUCGGAAGUUCCAAGGAGUGACGGUCACGUGGGGCCUCUGGGCGGCGACCGGAAGCAAGGGCUCGGGCCCUGUGUCGCACUGGCUGUGACGGCGACGCGGAUUGGGCGGCAUGGAAGCCCCGGAGGGCGGGUCCCCGAAGGAGGAAGCGGCCCUGAGAGUGCGCCCUCCAGUGGCGGUUUUGUCACCGGCCCUUUCCUCCCGCCCUCUGCUGCCUCCUCAGGAGGCGAACGGCUUUGCUUCGCACACUCCCUCCUGUCGCGGUCUGCCGCACCGUGGGCCAUAAACAGAGCCAAAUGACAACGGGCAGAAACUUCUGGAACCAGGGGCCACAAGAAGUCUUUCCUCCUUUGAGCUGUCCUGUCUCACAGCGAUAAGAAGCCGGCUAACAGGGUACAAGCGUGACGGUCUUCUGUAGGAACGAGGAAAGGAAGGGACGAUGCUCCCAUCCCCUGCCCACUCCACGCCAUUCCCAGUGCCACGAUGCUCUUGUCCAGUGGCCCAGGGUGAGGCCAAAGGCUGCAGCUUCUGCAAGGAUCCGCUGUGCCUGCUACUUAACGAAACCAUCCAGCCUCAGCAUCUUAAGCUGGGGCAGGAGGUCACAUUCUGAACAAUUGAGUAGAUCUUACAGUAUUUUGCACCUGCAUUGCGGGAUGGAAGGUCCAGGGUGCAAGCAGAGAACACUAGUGCCCCGACAUUGUCACCCCUUUUCCUGUCCUAACAUGAGAACCUGUAAAGGGGCGAUCAAGGGGUAGCGUUGCCUCCAGGUGUCAGUCAGGAGUCCGACCGUGGCUCCACUGCAGCCCAGACCAAUCCUGGGUGGGACGUUCUAAUGGGGAGAGAGAUGCCCAAUCCAGCUCUAAUUUACCUGAGCACAUGGCAGAAAUGUUUUACUAAAGGCAAGAGAGUGGUUCUCACAUCUACCUGGUGUGCCAGAAUGGCAGUCCCAUGUCUAGCAUGUGCCGUGGUGGUGAAGUACCACUGAAAGCCAUGACUGGGUAGCAGUGUCGAACGUGGUUAAUUAGCCACACUGGGAGGGCCCUGCAUGCAGCUCCAUCAGCCUGCCACGUUGCAUGAUGUCAGCUAGUGAUGUGUUGUAUCUUCAGCUUCCAUUUCUUUCAGGGCCAAAAAAUGAAAAGUCAUUGAUACAGUGGGUGACAAGUACCUGGGCAUGCUACACACCAGGGAAAUUCAAGGAUUGCUAUGGAUUGAAUUAUCUUCCUCAGAACUCAAUGACUUCUCUUGAAUAUUGAGAGCUCAACCAAAGCCAUGAUGAGGCAAACCCUGUCUGACAGAUCUGCAGUCAGGACUUCUUUUAAGCUUUAGACAAUAUAGCUGUGACUGUUGUGAUACAUCAGUCAGGCUUCCGUAAGAGCCACCUAUCAGGUUAGUAAAUCUGGGUGUACCAUGGGUGACUGACACGUAGGUCAGCAAGUCGGGUGGGGAAGAGCCACCCUGGAUAUGGGUGAUACCAACCGACAGACUUGUGGCUUGGGUAGAAGAGGUGGGGGCGAGCUCCGCUUGUUUCAGAGGAGUUCUGGUCUCCACCACUGCCUCUGGAUGUUGGCCUCCAGCUCCUUCCUUCCUCCAGCACUGACUCCUCAGCCCUCAGACAUGGAUGAGCCCUGGUGACUCUGCAGUGAUCUUCCAGACCUCUGAUCCCGACAGCUAUUGGAGCCUUCAGUUCUCCAGUGUGCAGAUGGUCAUUUUGGAUUCUUUUGUCUCUGAUCCAGCAGACAGACACUGGGAUUCUUUCUUCUGAUCUGGACUUUGUUGUAUAGCCCAAGAUAGUCUUGAACUCACAAUAUCGCCCGGGACAGCCUUGAACUUGUGGAUCCUCCCGAGUGCUGGGACUACAGUGUGUGCCGUCAUGUCUGGCACAGCACGAUAAUGUUGGAUGUUCAAGCCCACAGAACUGUGAGGAAUAACUCUGUUGUUCAGGUCACCCAGCUUAUGACAUUUUAUUAUAGCAGCUUCAACUGACUAAAAUAGUUGCUAGAGCUAUGUAUCUCCCAAUCCCCUACCCAUGUCCCAGAACAAUUUGCCACAAGUAUUCCUAAAAACCCUUUAAGUAAUAAUUCUCCUUAUGCAAAUUAUCCUCAGCAUGAAAAGAUAAAACAAAUCUCCCAAAUUCAUUUUACAAAACCAGCAAAACAUUAUCAGAUUGGACUGUUCUGAACUUAAUAACACACACACACACACACACACACACACACAAAAAAAAAAAA